GCACGUAAUUAGCCGGGGCUUAUUCACAGACUACCGUCAUCAGCAUGGCAUUCCCUCCACGCCUUAUUCCUCAUCUAUAAAAGGGCUUUACAACGUUUCCGCCUUCAUCACCCACGCGACGUCGCUCCGUCAGACUUUCGUCCAUUGCGGAAGAUUCUUAGCUGCUGCCUCCCGUAGGAGUCUGGGCCGUAUCUCAGUCCCAGUGUGGCCGUCCACCCUCUCAGGCCGGCUACUGAUCGAAGCCUUGGUGAGCCUUUACCUCACCAACUAGCUAAUCAGCCGCAGGCACAUCCUCAGGCGAGGCCUUAGCCCCUUUCAUCAUGGUGUCAAAACUCCAUGACCUCAUUCGGUAUUACCCUGUGUUUCCACAAGCUAUCCCCAUCCCAAGGGCAGUUCACCUACGUGUUACUCACCCGUUCGCCACUCGCCACCAGGGUUACCCCCGUGUUGCCGUCCGACUUGCAUGCUUAAGACGCGUCGCCAGCGUUCGUU
rnacentral:rRNA from 1 species